UCUGCCCCGAAAGCCGGCCCCUCUACCCCGCCAUGACCUCCUGCCUGCCCCGGCCGCAGGCCACCCUCUAUCUCCGGGCCGAGCUUCCCGCCGAGCCCCACGCCAUCCCCUACCUCCCCGGGCCCCACACCUGGCCCUCCCUGGUCCUGGCCGACAGCCCGCCGCAGGCCCCCAUCGUCAUCCCCGGGGAGCCCCCGCCGCAGCCGCCCGUCGUCGUGCCCCCCGACGACCCCCCCAAGCACCCCGCGGUGGUCCACCCGGACCCCGUAAAGAAGCCCACCAUCUUCUGGAUGGAGGAGCCCGCUCCCAACCUCCCCUCCAUCAUGGGCGUCCCGACCCGCCCCAAGCAGCCCCUGCGUCUGCCCACCCCGGGGAGGCGCAGCAGGUCGGAGCCCCGAAGUUCGAAGCCCCUUCUCCUAAUGCGGGACGCUGCUGCUCCGGCUCCCGACAGCUCGGGAACCCCUCCUUCUCCCGCUCCCGACAGCUCUACGGCCCUUCUUUCACCCGCCCCCGACAGCUCAGGGACCCCUCCUUCUCCCGCCCCCGACAGCUCGGGGACCCUUCCUGCCCCCACCCCCGACAGCUCUGCAACCCCUCCUUCCCCCGCCCCAGACAGCUCAGGGACCCUCCUUUCCCUCGCCCCCGACAGCUCAGCGAUACCUCCUUCCCCCUCACCUGCCAACUCGGUGAUCCGCCUUUCUCCCGCCCCCGACAGCUCUGCGCCCCUUCCUUCCCCGGUCCCCGACAGCUCUGCGCCCCUUCCUUCAGCCCCAGACAGCUCUGUCGCAACUCCUUCCCUGGCUCCCCACAGCUCCGCCACCCCUCCUUCCGUCCCCGACAGCUCUGUGACCCCUCCUUCCCUGGCCCCCGACAGCUCUGCGAGCCCGCCUUCCAUCCCCGACAGCUCGGGGACCCUUCUUUCCCCAGCCCCGGACAGCUCGAUGGCCCCACCUUUCCCCGCCCCCGACAGCUCGGUGAACCCUUUUUUCCCUGCCCCCGACAGCUCGGUGACCCCUCCUUCCGCCCCCGACAGCUCGGGGACCCCUUACAGUUCUGGGUCCCCCCCCAGCCGAGGCUCCAGCAUUGCCUCCAGGGGCCACUUGGGGACUCCUGCUGCUCCCCACCUGGUGCUCACUCCCGGGAGUCGCUCGGAAACCCCUCCCAGUUUCCGCGCAGUGCUCACCUCCGGGAGUCACUGGGUAAACCAUUCUAGUCCCCACCCCGUGCUCACCUCCGGGAGUCACUCGGGGAGUCCUCCUAGUCCCCGGGCUGUGCUCAUAUUCAGGAGUCACUCGGGGAGUCGUCCUAGUCCCCGGGCCGUGCUCACCUCCGGGAGUCGCAAGGGGAGUCCUCCUAGUCCCCGCGCCGUGCUCACCUCCAGGAGGCCCUCGGGGAGCCCUCCGAGUCACGCGGGGAGUCCUCCUAGUCCCCGAGCUGUGCUCAGACCUGGGAAUGUGAGGACCCCUCCUGGUUCUCAAGCCGGGCUCCCCUCUGAGAAUUAUUUGUCGACAUCUGUCUCGGGGACUCCUCCUAGCCUGCGCGCGCUCAUGGCUUCUAGAGGCGGUCUGGAGCCCCCUCCUCACCCCAAAAGACUCAGCAUCUCAGGGGGACCCGCGAAGCCCCCUUCUCAUCCGGGGGGCCUUAGCAUCUUUAGGAAGCGUCUGGAAGCCCCUGCUCCCCCGCAAACCCUCAGCGUCUCUGGGAGUCGUCCAGAGCCCCUUCCUCGGGCCAAAGCCCCCACUUUAAAAUCCCUCCUCAAGCGCCCCAACAAGGUGACGGAGGCUUUGGCGGCUGAGGCCGCCCGGCCCUACUGGAUCACUGUCCUGAAGAACCACAGGGACCCUGGCCCCAAGACGGAGCCUUUGGUUUACCCCUCCCUCCUCAAGGCUGAUCCUCCUCCUCCUCUGCCCUUCAUCAUAGUGUCUGAGCCCCAACAAACUCCACCCCCUUUCUUCAAGAGUGAGCCUCAGAUGCCCGUUCCCUCUAACGUCAGUUCUGAGGGUCUUCCUUGCCCCCCCAUCUUCUAUAUUGAGCCUUCAGUUCGCGUCCCCCCCAUCAUCAGGUUCGAGUCCCCCAUCCUCAGACCUGAGACUCCUCCCGACUCCUCCAGUUCAGAGCCUCUUCCCGACUCCUCCAAUAGCUCUGAGCCUACUCCUGACUCCUCUAGUUCUGAGCCUACUCUCGACUCCAUCAGCAGGGCUGAGCCUCCUCCAGACUCCAUCAUCACCAGGGAUGAGCCUCCUCCCGACUUCUCCAUUGGCUCUGAGCCGCCUCCUGACUCCAUCACCAGGGCUGAGCCGCCUCCUGACUCCAUCUCUAAGCUGGAUUCUUCCAUCACCUCUGAGCCUACUUCUGACAACCCCAUGAGCUCUGAGCCGCCUCCUGACUCCAUCCCCAAGGCUGAGCCUCCUCCCGACUCCUCCAUCCCCUCUGAGCUUUCUCCUGACUCCCCCAUCACCUCUGAACCUCCUCCCGACUCCCCCAUCACCUCUGAACCUCCUCCCGAUGCCAUCACCUCUGAGCCUCCUCCCGAUUCUCCCAUCAUCAGCUCUGAACCCGAUUCUUCCAUCAAUUCUAAGCCUACUUCUGACUCCAAUGCUGAGCCUCCUCCCAACUCCGCCAUCAUCAGCUCUGAGCCCCCUCCUGACUCUCCCAUCAUCAGCUCUGAGCUUCCUCCUGACUCCAUUUCCAAGACUAAACUUUCUCUUGAUCCUUUUAUCAACAGCUUUGAGCCCUCUUCAAGCCAUUAGUUUUGAACCCCUUAUUCCUCUCCCCUCAUCUCUGAACCCUCUCUUCACCCCACUCUCCCAUCAACAGCUCUCAGCUCCCUUCUUACCCCAAUCAGGAUCUCCUCUCCGGUUCCUCCAUCAGCUACAUUAGCUUUGAGCUAAUUUAUCCUCCCUCUCUUCUAUUGCCUCUGAUCCCCCUCCCUAUACCACACUUAUUAUACCUCUGGGCCCCCUUUUCUCCUCCCUUCCAUCAUUAGCUCUGAACCCCCUAUUCCUUUACAACCAUCAUUGAUCCUGAGCCCCCUCCUCACCCCUCCAUAAGUUCUCAGCCUCUUUUCCAUUCCUUAUUAUCAGAUCUUAACCCCUUAAUUAGUUUUGAGCCCCUUUUCAGAACUUUACUUUUUCCUGUACUAAGCACUGAGCCUGAAAGACCCUAGUCCUCCCUGUUCUAGGCCUCGUCUUCUCUAACUCUGAGCCCCCUUUUUCUCACUAUCUUUAUUCCCCUCAGCUUUGAGCCAGUCCUCAGGACCCCUGAGACCCCUUUAGCUCUGAGCCCUCUUUUCAUCUUCUUCUCCCAGCUCCAAAUAGACAUUUUCUAGCCUCCUUAAACACAAAUUGCCCCUACCCUAGCUCUGAGCUUCAUGUCCCCCCCUUGCUCAGAUUAGCCUUUCCAGCUCCAAUUCCCAUUCUUCCCUUUCAACAUUGCCCCAUUUUCCAAGUCUCUCUUGCUCCUAUCCUUGCAUGGCCCUGUUCCCCCUUGGCAGAGACACAGAAGGUGUUGAGCUGCAGUCAACAAGACUCGCUUCCUGGUGCUGACAUGCAUUCAGCUCCCCAAGUGAAGAUCCCAGCUAGAGAGAUGGUGUCGCUUAAUAAGAAGUCCGUGACAUUCAAGGAUGUUGCUGUGGAUUUCACCGAGGAGGAAUGGAGACGCCUGAACCCUGCUCAGAGGCAGCUGUACAGGGAUGUGAUGCUGGAGAACUACAGAAACCUAAUUUUUCUAGAUUGGGAGACUAAUCCUGAAACCAAGGAGUUGACUCCAAAACUAGACAUGUCUGUGGAAGAGUUGUCCCUGCAAAGCUUCACAAAGAUUAGUCCCCAUGACCACAGGUUGGGAGAUACCUGGGAAUAUGGUGUCAAGUUUGAGGGACAGCAGGACAAGCUAGAGAAAGAUUCCGUACAAGUAACAGUCACCCAAAGAAAAGUUCCUAAUAAACUGAGGAGCCACGAAUGUAACAAAUUUGGAAGAAGCUUUAAUUUUGGGUCAGUCCUUGUUCCACCCCAGAAAAUUCCUAUGAAAAAGAGUUUGCGUAAAUAUACUCCAUAUGGAAGAAGCCUCAAACAGUAUUCCAGCUUGAUGAAAUGUAGUAGAAUCUCCUCUGAAACUUGUAAGGGUAAUGAGUCAAGCAAAGUCUUCUGUUACUAUUCAGACUUUCAUCAAAAUCAUACAGUACAGAUGGGGAAAAAAGCUUAUAAAUAUGAAAGUGAAAAGGCAUUUAGCCAGAAUAUACACAUCACUCAGAAUCAGAGAAUUAGUCCUGGACAAAAGUCUUAUACAUGUUAUGAACCUGCUCAGGUCUUUGCCCACAACGCAUCCUUCACUACACAUCUGAAAGUCCAUAUUGGAGAGAAACCUUAUAAAUGUAAUGACUGUGGGAAAAUCUUUGGCUACAUUUCAUCCCUUAUUAAUCAUCGGAGAAUACAUACUGAAGAGAAGCCCUAUGCGUGUAAUUCCUGCGGAAAGUCUUUCAGAGAUAGGUCAUACCUUACUCAACACCAGAGAAUUCACACUGGAGAGAAACCCUAUAAGUGUGAUGAAUGUGGAAAAGUAUUUAUACGAGGUACACAUCUUACUCGACACCAGAGAAUCCACACUGGAGAGAAACCCUAUCAUUGUAAUGAAUGUGGAAAAGCCUUCAAUCAGAGCACACACCUUAUUCAGCACCAGAGAAUUCAUACUGGGGAGAAACCCUAUAAAUGUAACAUAUGUGGAAAAGCCUUCAGCCAGAGCGCUUACGUUGUUCAGCAUCAGAGACGUCACACGGGAGAGUACCCCCAUAAAUGUGACGAAUGUGGGAAAGCUUUUAGCCAAAGAUCAUCUCUCAUUGAGCAUCAGAGAAUCCAUACUGGAGAGAAACCCUGUGUGUGCAACGAAUGUGGCAGAGCAUUUAGGAGUUACCCAUCUCUUACUAAACAUCAGAGAAUUCAUACCGGAGAGAAGCCCUAUUUGUGUAAUGAAUGUGGGAAAGCCUUUAGCCGAAGUGCUUACCUUACUCAACAUCAAAGAAUUCAUACUGGAGAGAAGCCCUUUAAUUGUAUUGAAUGUGGGAAAAGCUUCAUCCGGAGUGCACACCUUAUUGAACACAAAAGAAUUCACACUGGAGAGAAACCCUAUGAAUGCAGUGUAUGUGGAAAAGCCUUCAGCAAUCGCUCAUCUGUCACUAAACAUCAAAAAAUUCACACUCAAGGAAAACACUAUGAAUGCUGUGAGUGUGGAAACACUUUUAUUAAGAAAUCAUUACUUAUUCAACAUCGAAAACUCCACCUUGGAAAGUAAUUGUAAAUACAGACUAUGGGAAAGUUUCAGCCACAGCAACCAUUAACUAUGUAUAUUCAUGAGAGAAUUCACACUGUCAGAAAUCUCCAUUGAUGAAAUGAAUAUUGGAUAGGCUUCCGAUGCAGAUAAUCAUUUGAAAAUUCAAGACUAAAGAAUAAUCGUGGGAUUCUAAAGAUUUAUGAUCUUGUUGAUGUGGGUACUUUUCCUGAUGUAGAUGUUAAUAUUGCCCUACUUUAAUACAGUUUAUAUGAUAGAAAGAACCUCGUUUAUAUAGUCAGGAUUUUGCUCAGUCAUUUUUUGUCACGUCUGCUACUUCAUGACCCCACUUGGGUUUUCUGGGAAAAAAGAAUAUGUGGGUUCAAAUCACAGUUCUUCUAUUUUCUGUUUUCAUGACCUUCAGCAAUCCCUUCCCCCCUCUGAGCCUCAGUUUCCUCACAUGAUGGGGGUGGACUAGAUGAACUCUUAAGGUUUCUUGAAGAUCUAAAUUCUGUGAUCCUAUGAAUUGUCAUGGUCAAAAACCAAAUCAUUACCUGCUGUCGAGCUUCUGGUGAUGAACCUGCUUAUGCUUAAGUAGGCUGGUCCUUGGAUUGCAAACCCAUCUUGGAUCACAUGAUUGUCCCCUACUCAAAGGAAUUCCAACUUAAUCAGAGCUGCCAAAGCUUGUGUUCCUCUGAUAUGUCUAUCCAGGGUCACCUCCACAUCGCGCUGAGUCGCCAGAGUAGGAUGUACGUGUUACCAUCCUGAUGUAUUGGGGGAGGAUUGGUGGAAGUGCAAUGGUAAUAAUACUCUGGGAGAAAUUUCACCUCAGUUGUUUGUUUUUUACUUGUAAAAAUGUUUUGAGCGGUUGUCAGGUCUCCCUUAUAAUCCCUGUGGCUUCUGUGUCAUGUCUCCACAUGUAAUGCUACUCUUAUUUCAGGCUUGUGUCGCCACUUGCUUGGACUAUUAUAAUGACUGUCUUAGCUGGUCUUCCAGCUUCCAGAGUCUUCCCUCUCCCUUCUGUUGCCAAAAACUUAUUUUCCCAUGGCUUAGAACUGAAGCUUAAGAAGCUUCGUGUCUCCUUAUUGCCCCUGAGAUCAAAUACAGAUUUACCCUGAUAUUUGUCGUCCUCGAUAUGGCUCUAACCUACUUUUCCCGCUUUACACCAGUGUUCAUUCUACUUUUUAUUUCUUCCCUUUACACACCAUAGGGACACAUAACACUUUCUAAACCUUAAUUUCUUUUUCCUGACACUCAAUACUGACUGUCUCCUAAACCUGGAAUAUACUGUUUUUCCAGCUUCUUUAAAAUUAGCUCAGGGGCAGCCACUCUGGAAAACUUCCUUGGAUCUUUUCAACUGAAAAGCCCUUCUUCCUUCCUUCCUUCCUUCUUCCUUCUUUAAAGUUCUCUAGAGCCCAGAUGGGGUCUUCCAAUUGAAUGUAGGGAUCACAAAGUGAUGAUUUAUUAUCAGUAAAUGUUUGAUUUGUAUACAUGUUUGAUGUACCUGUAUAUCUGGGGUCGUGGAAAAUGUCUUGGGUGAAAAGGGGUCACGAAUGGAAAAAGUCCUGCUCUAGAGUACUUUAUCCUUGACUAUAAAUAUCUCAUUCUACCCAAUCUCUAGCAGAAUGCAAGCUUUGAGUAUAAGAACUUUCGGGUUUUUUCCCCCUUUAACUUUUGGGUUUUUCCCCCUUUACUCUCUAGCAUCUCAGUGCCUUACACAGUGCCUUGCACAUAGUAGGUGCUUAAUAAAAUUUAGUUGAGUUAACUCAGAUAUUUUUAAAAUGGCCUUACCCCAUUUUGCUUCCCUUUUCUUAAAUUAUUAUAAUUUUAUCAUUGAAGUACUUUUAACUUGAACCAUCUAGGAAAAAGUAUGGUCUUUGGAAGGAAAUGUCGGAGCAGAGUGAAGGCCAGGGGUCUGCACCUUGGUGACUGGAAGGGGUAGAGUUUAGGAUUGAGCAUCUGGGGUAAGGGUUAGCUAGUGCCUCUCAGUACAUCCCAUGGUGCAACCUUUACCUGUGAGAGUGACCCUCGUCAAAGCCCUUGAAUUCCUACUUGAGGUGGAAGGGAUCUUGGAUUACAAGCCCACUCCUCCACGACUGACAGAUGUGAGACAAGGGUCUGGGUCUCUUAGCGAUGGCUGAUGAUGCUUUAAGGUUUCCCACUCUCACCAGCGCGCUCCCUCACACUUGGGAAGUAGAGUUCUCUAUUUGGGUCCAUUUACAGAGGAGGAAGCUGAGACAUGAGAAGGGGAGGGACUUCUGUUGGGUGACGCAGCUGCAACUGGAACAACUGAACAACCGAUGCUCCUCUCUUGCCUUCUAG
rnacentral:lncRNA from 1 species